rnacentral:rRNA from 1 species
UACGGAGGGUGCAAACGUUGCUCGGAAUUAUUGGGCGUAAAGCGCACGUAGGCGGUCCGCUAAGUCGGGUGUGAAAUCCCUCGGCUUAACCGAGGAAGUGCAUUCGAAACUGGCGGGCUUGAGUACUGAAGAGGGUCGCGGAAUUCCCGGUGUAGAGGUGAAAUGCGUAGAUAUCAGGAGGAACACCUGCGGUGUAGACGGCUUACUGGACCAUCACUGACGCUGAGGCACGAAAGCGUGGGUAGCAAACAGG